UCUAUGUACAACGGUUCUCUC
ensembl:piRNA 21ur-5385 ncRNA